AAACCAUGAUGAGGAUAGAGUCUUAUCAUAGUGUUGUAUCUCUGCCAAGCAUCAUACAAGCUUUCUCCAUCAAAUUGAGCAAAUCUUGUAAUCUUGUCUCUGUACUCU